ensembl:lncRNA
AGAGAAAUGAGUAAGGACUGGAAAGUCACAACACUGAGCUGCUCAAGACAAACUGAAGAACAAAUAUGCCAGAAGCACCAGUGAACCCACUGAGGAAAGGGCAGUGCUGCACAUCAAGUAGUCCUUUUCUCACAGCCUAUGGGAACCUUGGCUAGGAAGCCAAAAUUGAUAUCAGACCAUUUUUAGGUAGUAGAAAAAAAGCUGGAAGGGUAACAGUGAUGGUUCCAAGGCUGUAGCAGGGAUUACAGAGAAAUUAGUGUUACACAAUUGUCUUUUAUGGAGACCCAGGGGCAGGUGAAAGGGAGGACAACAUGUUGUCUUCACCUGAAGUCUCUGUAAUGGUUAUUCUCAGAAGUUACUGAGCAGAAGACUCAAUUACAAGAGUUCUUAAUAUAGCAAGUUAUAUGAUCGCAGGGCUAUUCUGCCUUUAAAUUUUGACUCACUCAUUUGUACCCUUCUCGUGGUAAAGGUCUUUUCUUUGUGGAAACUCUUCCUACCAAAAGUUGAACUGACUCAAGGGAACAUUUAUUUUGGGAGACUGUCGUUUAGAAAGAAAACAGAAAAAUCAAACAGCACUUUUCACAUUUAUUCAUGACUUGAGUAAACUGCUUCCUGUGCAGACAGAGUAACAUAAAAACUAGGCAACAUCCAAACCCAGAAGCACCAUGUCCCUGUGAAAAGAGCUCUGGGCAGGAAUUCAAGAGACUGUGGCUCUGUUCCUAACUCUAUACUGUCCUUUUCACUGCUGUUCAAUGAGUCAAUUCAUUGAUCUGUGCCUCAGUUUCCUUCUGUAACAGGCAUCCCUGGGAGUCUACUCCUCAACUCUACUCCUCAGGUUAGCCUGAUUCAGCCUCAUCAUGAUCUCUGCUCCUAAUGCACUUGAUAAACUUCAUUCUUUCUAAAGGAUUCUGUAUUUCAAACACUUCUCCUUAGAAUAAAAGGCAAAAAUAUAUAGAAAUAUGUAAACGAACCACAACUUCACCAGUCAGGAAGUAAAAACAAAUUAAAACAUUUCAGACAAAGAGAUUUAUUUGGCUAGGUGACAUCCUGCCCAGUCAAAUUCCUAAUUGCCCAAAAAGCAUCUUGUGAACAGAGCUGUUAUUGUGUCCAUGAGGCUGUGUUUGAUUUGAGGAGCAUGGGAAAAUGGAAAUGGCACAGAAAUGAGCUCUUUUAGUGGGGGAGGAGAAGAAGGGGUAUGUAAAGAUGAUCUUCACAGGUCCAUGUCAGGAGUCAGCCCUCCCUCAAUGAUGGCUUCAUGAAGACACAGCAGAGGCUGGACUGACCCUAGUGUCUGUCUCUUCUGGCACCUCAAGGUAUGCAGUUUCAAAUCCUGUCUGCCUCUUGAUCCUACUGAACGGCAGCAAAAGACAACAGAGAGAGAAAAGAAAACAACCUAAAACUAAAUCUCUUUAAAGGAAGUUAAAGGCCAGAUGUUCCUUGCUUCCUGUCUGCUGCUGCCACAGUUGCCAUAGCCUGUGGUUGUGGUUAGUCUACAGCUUAUAUGUGAUAGACUGAAACCAUAUUUACUGG